rnacentral:lncRNA from 1 species
GCCACAUUUCAGUGAGUUUUUCCUCAAUCAAGAUUUUUUAUGCUAUAUACCGAGAAAAAGUUUCCUUCAUUUAAACCUGUAAACCAGCUUAUUUUAUCAGAUACUUUAUUUAACUUCAAUAUGUCUGACUGACUUCGCAGAUUAUUUUUUUUCUUGAUGUUUUAUAUUUCAAUUAAUGAUUCAAGUUUGUUAUUCACGCUAUUUAUCAAAUCAUCAAGGUGUGAAAAAACUUGGUUUACACUAGUGGGCAUAUUCUCUCCUAGUCUUUGCUUUUAUUCAACUUGAUAACAAUCAAAUAGAUGUGCAGUGAAAAUAUGAAUAAGGUCUCAAUUAAUCUUCAACUGAAAAAAUAACUUUUGAAUAAAUAGUUUGUUUUUGAAGAUUUGACUUUAAAAAAUGUACUACAUGUAUUUCUAUUUAAUAAAAAAAAAAUGUACAUAUUCAGAUCGAUUGAUUGAUGUUGAAAGUAUCCCACUUUCAACACCGUGGGAUAUAUCAUGACAGCCAGUUUUCAUAUGUAGAUGAAGACAGUGUACCUGAAAACAACCUUCAGCAGGAAAACUUUCUAGUCAAUCAAAUUAGGAGUGAAAUGCACCCAACAUGAGCGGGGCUUCAACUCACAUUCUCAGUGUUGACAGGCUAAGUAUGACUGCAGAAUAAUUACUUAAACAACCCAGCCACCGAGAUCCUAGUACAUUUUAUAAGAACUACUUUGGGCGUGUUUAACGACGUUGACUACCCAUAAGGGUCUCGUACAGUCGGUAUUAUAACAAAUGCUAAUUGGUUAAAGAAAAUUACUAUAUUAAAUCAAUACUCCUAUUUUAUAUUUCACUAUUGUUGUAUUUUUCAUACACGUCAUAAUUUUACUUUACUACCUGAAAUGUGGCUCACUGAUGAAUUCACAAAUUUUAACAGUUCUCAAUAAAAACAAAUAUGAAAAUAGAAUCUAGUGAAUAGAUAGUUUCUAAUAUUGAAAUUUGAGAGGGAAAAUGCAAAGUAAUAAUACUUCUCUAAACUCUAAGUGCAAAAAUACAUACUUAGUACUCCUCUUAAUUUACAACAAAC